rnacentral:rRNA from 1 species
UAAUACGUAGGUGGCAAGCGUUGUCCGGAUUUAUUGGGUUUAAAGGGUGCGUAGGCGGUCAAUUAAGUCAGUGGUGAAAUACGUCAGCUUAACUGUCGAGGUGCCAUUGAUACUGGUUGACUUGAGUACUGAUGAGGUAGGCGGAAUGGACGGUGUAGCGGUGAAAUGCUUAGAUAUCGUCCAGAACACCGAUAGCGAAGGCAGCUUACUAAAGAGUAACUGACGCUGAGGCACGAAAGUGUGGGGAUCAAACAGG